rnacentral:ncRNA from 1 species
GAUAACAGCGUAAUUUUUUUGUAGAGUUCUUAUCGAUAAAAAAGAUUGCGACCUCGAUGUUGGAUUAAGAUUAAAUUUAGAUGAAGAAGUUUAAAUUUUAAGUCUGUUCGACUUUUAAAAUCUUACAUGAUCUGAGUUCAAACCGGCGUAAGCCAGGUU